UCCUGCUCUGCCACAGCAGGCUUUGGGCAGGGCCAGGAACCAGCUAGUUUAAGGAGUUUGGGUGUUUUCCCUUUGGUGCUCAGGUGCUUUCGGCCCCCAGUGAAACCGUGCAAAGAACUUUCUAGGGGGAUUCUGCAGGGUGGCUCGGAGAAUGUGGAGGAGCUGGCCGGCCAUGGAGGAAGGCGGGAGGGGUACACACCGGUGUCAGUUCAGGAGGCCAGCACAGGGACGUCGGCUUUUGAUAACAGAAACUGAAGCGAUUCCCAAUUUUAUUUUUUCUUUUUAUUCCUCUUGAGUAGCUAAACGCCUUUGCUGAGUAAAGGAAGAGACAACUUCGAAUGGGUGGGGAUGGGGGUGAAGAAGCUGAAACCAAUGUCAAAUCUGUUUAGUUUCAGGCACCCAGGGAGCUCUUAGUAGACAUACAUACAAUGCAGACAGCGCUAUGCAUUGAGGCCAGGUGGAGACCUCAGCUUUCCCUUGAGAGAUUUAAUCCAGAUUCUGGACAUGGAAGCAGGAAAACCACUCAUUAAAGGUCUGCCUGGGAAAUUUAAUGAGGCCCUCAGCUCAAAAUAAAAAAAAAUAGAAAGAGGUCUAGCAACAUAGCAAUAGUAGCAUGCUUACCUAGUAUGUGCUAGAGCCUGAGCCCUAUCCCAGCAUCAUUAAAUAGACAAAUAAAUAAUAAGCAGACUAUUGGCAAUUUCUGGACACAGAGGCAACCUGGCCCGUGGGACUGGCAUCCUCUCUGUAAGAGCAGCCUAGGUUCUCUCCUCUUCAAGCCUAUUUCCAACUGAAUUGUUUGUAACUAGGAAGGACGUGACUUGAAAGUCCCCUUUGGAAGAAAAGAGGGGCUGUCUGGCUGGGAAAGCAACUGGGCACCUUGAGAUCCAGACCCAAUAUUGACUAUGUAGGUUUGGGCAGGUCUCUAAACAUCUUGGAGAUUUACACAGAGGUGAAAUGUUAUAAUAACAUGUAUCUCCCUGGGCUACUGUGAAGAGCACAUGAAGAACAACAUGUGAAUUCUUCUGAGAGUCAUAAAAUAGAUGGUUCACUCUGUUGUACUUUAAAAAUUAAGGUUGCACACAAGACACCCCAUGAUGGAGCAAGGGUGGGAGACAUUCCGAGUACACCCUGUACUUCAAGAACUGAAGAAACUUCUGGAGGUAUGAGACCCAGUCUGCACAUUCCAGAGGGAUGAUGAGUCCCUGAAGAAGAUAUUUACUGGUUCCAGAGCGGAACUAAUCCUUCUCAUAGGGGUGUGACAUUUAGAGAGUGUCAUGAGGUGUCACAGGAGAUGGCUUGGAGAAGCCAGCAUGGGCUUUGCACCUCCCACCUUGAUCCUGGGGCAACUCUUACCUCAGGAAGGACAACAAAGGCACCAGUCAUCACUGUGAGCACUAUGUUAAUUCCAAAUAACCACCUCAGGAAGAUGAAGUAGGAGGCCACGCCAGAUCCAAAGUGACCUAUGAAGGACAACGGAGAGUGGCUCCGCUCAACCCUCACAGCACAGAGAGCCUUGUCACUCACCUUCAGCAGCAGCAAACACAGGAAGAGUGAUGUCAUAUGGUGCCUCCCAAUCCCCCCUGUUGGCUGCUUAGCUGGGUCAGCAUCCUGUGUCUGGUCCCUGGUUCUGUAUACAGCUCUGGUUGACCCAAACACUGGCAACCUCCUCAGUGCUGUACCCAUUUGAAUAUGCUGAGUCAAACUUACUAACUCAUGUGUUAAGAGACUUUCAUAUACUGUAAUAUGUUGCAUUACUUUGCAUAUUCAAAGGUUCCUCUAAGGUCCUUUGUCUUAAUUUCAACAUGGAAACUAUUGUGGUGUUGACUGGAGUAGCCAGAUAAAGGGUAUGUAGAAACUCU
ensembl:antisense